GCCACCUCCUUGGCUUUCUGCAAUGCGAUCUUCUGACUGGCAGCCUCCUCCUCUUCUUGCUCAUCCUGCCGGGAAAGAGAGGCGGAAGGAGGUAAAGGACGUCAAUGGAGGAAGCAGAGUGGAGGACAAAAAGCUUUAGUCACGAUGAGAAAAUCUGAAAGCGGUUCCGGCUGGUCGUAGUGCACGACAGCCACGCACAGCGUGUUGAGGCCCACCAAACACAGUACAGUCCAGUAGAAGGCCUGGGACUUCACGAUGUGUCGGAUAAAGAAGCGCAGUCGUCUUUCUCGCCUCUUGAAAGAUGACCCUUCCAACUUUGAGCUUUUUAAGCUAGCGCGGGCAAAAGGUGAACCUAAGAGGGUCCCCCUCCCCCUCCUCUGGGUUGAGAAGCUCAGCUUUGCUCUUGUGGUUCUUGGUGGCUCUCCUCCGGGAGCCUGGAGCAGAAAGCAGCAGUCCAUAUUGAAUCAAACCAUCUGCAUUCACUUCAGUUCGUGAAUGAUU